GCAGCGUCGCUCAACCGACAAAUCCUCUCAAGUCCUGAGUCCUGACUUCCUCCUCUGCUGUUUGCGAUGCAGCAGCGUCCCGUCUCCACAAUCCCUCCCACGCACCCUCCUGCCCUUGACUCUUACGGAUCGUAGGAGGAGGGAGAGGAGAAGCCGUAUUCUGUUCCUGUUUUGAGGUUGCAGCGACCGAUAUCUCUGCUUCCGACUGUGCGUUUACCGCGCCAUCCCUCCGGACUGUUUCUCCAUGCCCGUGCCGCAGCUCAGAUGGGAGACGUAAGUGCAGCAGCGGUUGUCUGGCAAGUGAACGCGCGCGGCAGGUCUCUCUGGCGGGCCAUCCCAAGCACGGGAUGCUGAACGGGAGCCGUGAGGGUUUGUUUGAACUGGGCAGGAAGCUCCAGCGGGAGGGAGACUCCCAAGCUGCUCUGCACUGCUUUUUGAGCUGCCUGCUGGGACUCACACAUGUGCAGAGCUUCCACUCGCUUCCCAACUGCCUGCAUCAGAUUGCUGAACUCUACAUUGAUGACAAGAAUUAUGGGAAAGCUUUGCAGUUCAUUCAGGCG
ensembl:lncRNA